rnacentral:rRNA from 1 species
UGGCGAGUGGCGAACGGGUGAGUAAUACAUCGGAACGUGUCCUGUAGUGGGGGAUAGCCCGGCGAAAGCCGGAUUAAUACCGCAUACGCUCUACGGGGGAAAGGGGGGGAUCUUAGGACCUCCCGCUACAGGGGCGGCCGAUGGCAGAUUAGCUAGUUGGUGGGGUAAAGGCCUACCAAGGCGACGAUCUGUAGCUGGUCUGAGAGGACGACCAGCCACACUGGGACUGAGACACGGCCCAGACUCCUACGGGAGGCAGCAGUGGGGAAUUUUGGACAAUGGGCGAAAGCCUGAUCCAGCAAUGCCGCGUGUGUGAAGAAGGCCUUCGGGUUGUAAAGCACUUUUGUCCGGAAAGAAAACGUCGUGGUUAAUACCCGUGGCGGAUGACGGUUCCGGAAGAAUAAGCACCGGCUAACUACG